rnacentral:rRNA from 1 species
UACGUAGGGUGCAAGCGUUAAUCGGAAUUACUGGGCGUAAAGCGUGCGCAGGCGGUUUUGUAAGUCUGUCGUGAAAUCCCCGGGCUCAACCUGGGAAUUGCGAUGGAGACUGCAAGGCUAGAAUCUGGCAGAGGGGGAUAGAAUUCCACGUGUAGCAGUGAAAUGCGUAGAGAUGUGGAGGAAUACCGAUGGCGAAGGCAGCCCCCUGGGAUAACACUGACGCUCAUGCA